CCCGCGCACCUCGCUCUCUCCUUCUCGGCCCUGGAGGAGGCGGGCAGCUCUGGCAUCCUCCUCCUCACCGGGCUGCAGCUGCUCGACGAGCCCAGCAGCGACAGCGCGGCAGCCGAUGGAUGCUCAUGGAGAAGGGAAGCUGCCAGGGAUGAGAAGAUCACUGUUAAAGCAGGGCACACUGCAAACAUGACGUGCUCUUUCAUGCUUGAAGCUGGAUAAAUCUCCCUGCCUCAGCAGGUGGAAAGUGAAACCCAGGCCUGGAGCAGUUCUGUUGGUUAAUCCCCAGGCAGUGCUCCCCACUCCUCAGAAGCUCAUGGCACUUCUGGGCUUUGCUCUCUUGGUUUUGGUGAUCUCAGUACCACAUUUUACACUGAAAUGUGGUCCAGGAGCCCUGGGUCAGCUCAAAAUCCUGCUCAGGUCCAAUAGCCCUGGGGCAGCUCAGAAUCCUGCUCAGGUCCAAGAGCCCUGGGGCAGCUCAGAAUCCUGCUCCACGUUCACUGCUGACAUUUCUUGUGUGGAUGGUUUGGUUUUACUUGAUGCCUUGUGCUCAAAUGCCAUUCCUUACUCCUGCUCUUGCUGAGGACACUCAGUGGGUUGGGGCUAGGCCCUGCUUGGAGCAGAGAAGGAUGGGAUUGCAAGGAGCUUCCUUCCAAACUGAGGGAACACAAGGACCCUGAUGAGACAGGCACUGAGACUGUGCCCAGUGCCUGGCAGUCUGCCUUUGUCACAGCUCCAGGGGCACAGCCUGCUCCUGCAGCCCCUCCCUCUCUGCCUGUCCCCUGGGAUCUGUAUUUCUUGAAAAUAAAUGGAAUUUCACCCUUCUAAAGUUUCCUUCAAAGUGACAGAGGAAAAGCUUAAUAAAAAUGCCAUGGUCACA